rnacentral:rRNA from 1 species
GACGAACGCUGGCGGCGUGCUUAACACAUGCAAGUCGAACGGAAAGGCCCUGCUUUUGUGGGGUGCUCGAGUGGCGAACGGGUGAGUAACACGUGAGUAACCUGCCCUUGACUUUGGGAUAACUUCAGGAAACUGGGGCUAAUAACGGAUAGGAGCUCCUGCUGCAUGGUGGGGGUUGGAAAGUUUCGGCGGUUGGGGAUGGACUCGCGGCUUAUCAGCUUGUUGGUGGGGUAGUGGCUUACCAAGGCUUUGACGGGUAGCCGGCCUGAGAGGGUGACCGGCCACAUUGGGACUGAGAUACGGCCCAGACUCCUACGGGAGGCAGCAGUGGGGAAUAUUGCACAAUGGGCGGAAGCCUGAUGCAGCAACGCCGCGUGCGGGAUGACGGCCUUCGGGUUGUAAACCGCUUUCGCCUGUGACGAAGAGUGAGUGACGGUAAUGUGUAAAGAAGCACCGGCUAACUACGUG